rnacentral:rRNA from 1 species
GACGAACGCUGGCGGCGUGCUUAACACAUGCAAGUCGAACGGGAUUUAGUAGACAGAAGCCUCGGCUAAAGAUUACUACUGAGAGUGGCGAACGGGUGAUUAACGCGUGAGCACCCUGCCUAUGACAGUGGGAUAGCCUCUGGAAACCGGGAUUAAUACCGCAUAAAAUCGUAGAAACAAAUGUUUUAACGGUCAAAGAUUUAUCGGUCAUAGAUGGGCUCCCGUCUGAUUAGCUAGUUGGUGGGAUAACAGCCCACCAAGGCGACGAUCAGUAGCCGGUCUGAGAGGAUGAACGGCCACAUUGGAACUGAGACACGGUCCAAACUCCUACGGGAGGCAGCAGUGGGGAAUAUUGCACAAUGGGGGAAACCCUGAUGCAGCGACGCCGCGUGAACGAAGAAGGUAUUCGUAUCGUAAAGUUCUGUCCUAUGGGAAGAUAAUGACAGUACCAUAGAAGAAAGCUCCGGCUAAAUACGUG